GAAAUGCGAUACGUAAUGUGAAUUGCAAAUUCAGUGAAUCAUCGAGUCUUUGAACGCACAUUGCGCCCCCUGGUAUUCCGGGGGGCAUGCCUGUCCGAGCGUCAUUUCUGCCCUCAAGCACGGCUUGUGUGUUGGGCCCCGUCCUCCGAUCCCGGGGGACGGGCCCGAAAGGCAGCGGCGACACCGCGUCCGGUCCUCGAGCGUAUGGGGCUUUGUCACCCGCUCUGUAGGCCCGGCCGGCGCUUGCCGAUCAACCCAAAUUUUUAUCCAGGUUGACCUCGGAUCAGGUAGGGAUACCCGCUGAACUUAAGC
rnacentral:misc_RNA from 1 species